UGCUUAUACAUGCAAGUCGAACGAGGUCCAACCGGUGGCAACACUGGUGAAGACCUAGUGGCGAACGGGUGAGUAGCACGUGAGCAACCUGCCCCGAAGACUGGGAUAACACCGGGAAACCGGUGCUAAUACCGGAUGCCCCCAUCGGAUCGCAUGAUCUGAUGAGGAAAGGAUUCUGCUUCGGGAGGGGCUCGCGGCCUAUCAGCUUGAUGGUGAGGUAACGGCUCACCAUGGCGACGACGGGUAGCUGGUCUGAGAGGACGAUCAG
rnacentral:rRNA from 1 species